rnacentral:tRNA from 1 species
GGAGGGGUGCCGGAGUGGUUGAACGGGGCGGUCUCGAAAACCGUUGUGCCGACUUGUCGGUACCGUGGGUUCGAAUCCCACCCCCUCCG